AAGUCGUAACAAGGUUUCCGUAGGUGAACCUGCGGAAGGAUCAUUAUUGAGUUUUGAAAGGGGUUGUAGCUGGCCUUUUGGGGCAUGUGUGCACGCCUCGCUCAUCUCUAACACCUGUGAACUGGCUGUAGGUUGGUUUUGAAAUGGGUUCCCGUUUCUGCCUUCCUAUGUCUUUAACAAAUCCCUGUUGUAUCUGUACGUCUUUGCGCUUUUAAAACGCAUCAAUAUAACUUUCAGCAACGGAUCUCUUGGCUCUC
rnacentral:misc_RNA from 1 species